CGCACGAAGGGUUUCGGCCUUAGUGGCGGACGGGUGAGUAACGCGUAGGUAUCUAUCCAUGGGGUGGGGGAUAACACUGGGAAACUGGUGCUAAUACCGCAUGACACCUGAGGGUCAAAGGCGUAAGUCGCCUGUGGAGGAGCCUGCGUUUGAUUAGCUAGUUGGUGGGGUAAAGGCCUACCAAGGCGAUGAUCAAUAGCUGGUUUGAGAGGAUGAUCAGCCACACUGGGACUGAGACACGGCCCAGACUCCUACGGGAGGCAGCAGUGGGGAAUAUUGGACAAUGGGGGCAACCCUGAUCCAGCAAUGCCGCGUGUGUGAAGAAGGUCUUCGGAUUGUAAAGCACUUUCGACGGGGACGAUGAUGACGGUACCCGUAGAAGAAGCCCCGGCUAACUUCGUGCCAGCAGCCGCGGUAAUACGAAGGGGGCUAGCGUUGCUCGGAAUGACUGGGCGUAAAGGGCGUGUAGGCGGUUUGUACAGUCAGAUGUGAAAUCCCCGGGCUUAACCUGGGAGCUGCAUUUGAUACGUGCAGACUAGAGUGUGAGAGAGGGUUGUGGAAUUCCCAGUGUAGAGGUGAAAUUCGUAGAUAUUGGGAAGAACACCGGUGGCGAAGGCGGCAACCUGGCUCAUUACUGACGCUGAGGCGCGAAAGCGUGGGGAGCAAACAGGAUUAG
rnacentral:rRNA from 1 species